GGGCUUGUAGUUUAACGGUUAGAAUGGGACUCUUAUAAAGUCCAGACGAAGGUUCAACUCCUUCCGAGCCCA
rnacentral:tRNA from 1 species